AUUUUUUUUUAGCGCCUUUUGUCAACCUUCAUGGCGUGGGUUCAAGUCCUGCUGAAUGCACAUAUGCUGAUUGUAUUUCAAAUUUCAUUUUUCAUUUUAUUUCAUAUUAGUUCAUUUUAUUUUAGUCAACUUCAAAAAAUCAUUAAAAAUAGUAGGAUGAUCCAAUUUGAGUCCAAUUUUUUUUACAGUCUUGUUUUGAUCUCUAUUUUUUUAUAGGAUUUAUUUCAUGAUUUGUU
rnacentral:lncRNA from 1 species